AUACUUACCUGGCAGGGAAGAUACCAUGAUCACAAAGGUGGUUUUCCCAGGGCGAGGCUUAUCCGUUGCACUCUGGAUGUGCUGACCCCCGUGAUUUCCCCAAAUGUGUGAAACUCGACUGCAUAAUUCGUGGCAGUGAGGGAACUGCGUUCACAUUCUCCCCUG
rnacentral:snRNA from 1 species